rnacentral:lncRNA from 1 species
CAGAGGCCUUGUCCAAAGCCGCGGUCUGGAAGAUGUGAUGUACAAAUGCUUCCUGCUCCUUAUCAACGUCACUUAUAGGUUUGAUCAUCAUCAUCAUAAAAGUGACACCAGGAAGAGCCACAAAAUAUUUCAUAGGAUCCAGAAAUCUGAAGGAUUUUUUUCAAGAGACAUUCCUUUUCACGGAGAGAGAGCUGUACAGAGAGAAAUAUUUGGCCGAAAGGGGGUUAUUGGCCCUGCUGGACAUGAAUACCAGACCAUUACAUGGGCAAGAGCAUCCAUCUGUCAGACAGUGAUGAGUCUUGGGUGGAGCAGAUUAUCCAGAA